UACAGAGGUCCCGAGCGUUGUUCGGAUUUAUUGGGCGUAAAGGGUGCGUAGGUGGCAAAGUAAGUUGGAUGUGAAAUCCUGGGGCUCAACCUCAGAAUUGCAUUCAAUACUGCUUAGCUAGAGAGCUGUAGAGGAGACUGGAAUUUACGGUGUAGCAGUGAAAUGCGUAGAUAUCGUAAGGAACGCCAGUGGCGAAAGCGAGUCUCUGGGCAGCAUCUGAUACUGAGGCACGAAGGCCAGGGGAGCAAACGGG
rnacentral:rRNA from 1 species